rnacentral:misc_RNA from 1 species
GUUUUCUCUCAUCUUAAUUGCACCUCUUACUUUUACUUUCUCCCUCUAAAAUAGCUGCUCAAAUACAUUAGCUACUGUUCCCAAGCCCCAAAAUACCACCAAAUAUGUUGUUGUCUUGCUUUAAUCAAAUCAAAACUUGUACCCUCUUCAUCCUUAGCAGAGAAUGCAACAAAAGCUGGUAACUCUUAUUUUUGUGGAUUCACGAUUCUAGGUUUCUUCAAUGUCAAUUUUUGUUCUCCAACAGUAUGUUUUGUGAAUAAAGUUGGAAGGAAAGAUAGAGAGGGAAAUGGGGCAGCAUCUUCUUAGUUGUUUGGAGACACUAUAGGGAUCCUUCUUUUUCCUUUUCUUUUCCUCGAGGCCUACCAGUGGAAAAGGAAAAGCAAAAGUACUGGCUAAAUAUAUCUGUUAAUUUUGAAUCUGGG